rnacentral:lncRNA from 1 species
AAAACCCACCCACUUCCACACACACACCCCUCCCCAACCCCCACGUGGGCACCAAACUUUCUCCCAACUCCUUCCUGGUCUCUGCACGUCAGUCCCUCUGAGACGGAGCGCGGAAAGGCUGUCGGAGCCAGAAGCGGGGCCGAGGAGCACCCGCGUGUGCGUGCGGAGUCGGGGCGGGUCUGUGACUCACAGCUGCGCCCCUCCCCCGGCCCGCCCCACCGCUUAAUUCCGACGCUCGGGGCCGCCGGGUGUGAAAGAGCAGCUGGAGCGUGGAGCGCGGAGCGCGAGCCUUGCCCGAGAGCCCCGCCGUCGCGCCGGCCCCCGCCCCCCGCCGCCAGCCGCGCGCGCCCCGCCGCCCCUCCCCCUCCCCCUCUCGCCGCGCGCCAGGACCCGCGAGGCAGCGACAGCAACGGCCGCCGCCGCCGCUGGGAGGAGCUCGGGCUCGCCGCCGCCGCUGCCGCCGCCGCCGCCGCGAGCCUCCUUUGUGAGACCCCGGCCGAGGGAGGGAGGGAGACGCUGCUACUGUCUGGGGUCCUUUUCCCCCCGUAAGUCCAAGUUCCUUCAUCUUACCUUAUCCCAGUGACAGUUGGUAAGGAUAGAAUGGAUGAAAGCAGAGGGAAAAAGGAAAAAAAAAACCUGAUAAAUGUUAGCUGCACUGGUUGCUGAUUUUGCCAAUAUUGUGAGUAUUGCCUGUUUCUCUUUUAGAAUUCCAGGGCAGCAGUUGAAAGACAUGACCUUAGAGGAUGCUGAAAUGUGUAGGCAGCUCUCACGUGUGAAAAUUAGCUCUCUAAUUUUCCUUAGGGUUAGUAAGGUUUGUUUACUGAUGUCCACUGGGCUGUCGUGAUCAUAAGACAAAGCCAUUACGUGGCAGUAUUUAUAUAUAAUUCAUUCUGUCUGCCUAGAUAUAAAUCCAAAUCUGGUCUCCUUGAAAAUGUAGGAUUCUGUUAUAUGCUCUUAUUAUUUUUUGUGGCCCUUUUUCUUUUUCUGUUUUCAGUGAGGAACUCCCUCAGUCAGUAUCUGCUCCAAAAUUUAGCUUCUUGGAGAGUUUCCUGGGCACUGAGAAAUUACAUGACCUGUUGGAGUCACAUAUUUAGUAUGUAUUAGAGGUGGGACUUUAAACCUAAGUCUUCUAGACUUAGAUGGUUCUCUGUUUACUGUGUCAUACUGCUUCUUGUUAUGUUCCUUAUAAUAGUUGAUU